AGCGAACGCUGGCGGCAGGCUUAACACAUGCAAGUCGAACGGGCAUCUUCGGAUGUCAGUGGCAGACGGGUGAGUAACACGUGGGAACGUACCCUUCGGUUCGGAAUAACUCAGGGAAACUUGAGCUAAUACCGGAUACGCCUUACGGGAAGAUUAUUGCCGAAGGAUCGGCCCGCGUCUGAUUAGCUAGUUGGUGGGGUAAUGGCCCACCAAGGCGACGAUCAGUAGCUGGUCUGAGAGGAUGAUCAGCCACACUGGAACUGAGACACGGUCCAGACUCCUACGGGAGGCAGCAGUAGGGAAUAUUGGACAAUGGGGGCGAACCCUGAUCCAGCCAUGCCGCGUGAGUGAAGAAGGCCCUCGGGUUGUAAAGCUCUUUUGUCCGGAAAGAAAAGCAAUCGGUUAAUACCCGGUUGUUCUGACGGUACCGGAAGAAUAAGCACCGGCUAACUUCGUG
rnacentral:rRNA from 1 species